GGCCCGAUGGCGAAGUAGAAACGCAGGAGUCUGCAAAACUCUUAUUGCGCGGGUGCAAUUCCCGCUCGGGCCU
rnacentral:tRNA from 1 species